AAAAAAAACCUGUCACAUGAACUCUACUGGCGGGAAAAUGACGUCAUUCCACCAUCACAAGACCAUCACCUCAAGUCCAGUACAGCUUCAACCCCCGUCACAUGACAAGGGCUCCACUGUCAUGUGUCACGAGUUUAUCCAGAAAGGAUUGAAGGUAGUGGAGAAGGAAAGGUCAGUGCCUUUAAGCCGUUCUGUUUCGUGAAUUCUUCGUGGGAGUUCGACGUCGGGGAUCGAAGCAAGCGACGUGAAAGAGAAUUUAAAUCGUCUUAUUAAAUCGUCUCCUUUUAAAUGAACUUGAACCUGGUGGCGAUUGUUAUCCUGUCCCGAGGAAAGUGCGGUCUCUCCAAAUGCAUCACUCGCUACCUGCUGGGAAUGGCAGCGGCCGAUCUCCUGGUUGUUAUCUCUGAACCUCUGCUGAAGUGGAUUGUUUACAUAUAUUUCAGGUCUUCCUUCCUCUUUAUGACCCCUGUUUGUAGCGUCAUUCGUUGCCUGUUUUUAGCAAGCACCGGGUUCGCUGUCUGUCUGACGGUCGCGUUCACCUGUGACAGAUUUGUGGCCAUUUGUUGUGAAAAGCUGAAAACAAAAUAUUGCACCGAAAGAACGGCAGCUGCGGUUAUGGGGACAGUGAGUGUUCUGGGCUGUUUAGAAAGUAUCCCUUUCUGCUUUACAUUGGAACUUUGGAUAAUAUUCAACGGCGUUUUCUAUGGGUGUGUGACCAAAGAGAACUUGUAUACGUCCUCAUCAUGGGUCGCAUUUGUAAUGAUUCAUCGUAUUUUAAUGCCUUCUCUCCCGUUUGUUCUGAUUUUAUUGUUCAAUGCUCAUAGUUAGACGGAUCCUUUCCACCAAUAAGGGCCGGAUGGGGUUCCGGGGCCACAGCAACGGAAAGAAUGACAAGGACCGAAUGAAAUCCGUCGUUUUGCUAUUUAGUAUAACCGGUAGUUUUAUAUUUCUGUGGUUAACUCGGCUGGUUUUUCACAUUUACUUACGAAUUGCAAACAUCGUUCAUAUCUGGGACAAUGAUCCGAUUUUAAUCGCAGAAUCCACGGCGACGAUGCUGCAGAUCAUCAGCUCCUGCACCAACACAUGUAUUUACGCCGUGACUCAGAGUAAGUUUAGAGAGGAGCUGAAGAACGCGGUGAAAUACCUACUGAAACUGUAAACAAAAUUCCUUAAAUCAUAGAGCGACUCGUUGCUUUCUUCCGGGUUUAAGUCAAACGCCAUGGUUCCUUCAUAGUCGCUUGCCGAUAUGUAGAACCACGGGUAACAACUGAGCGCUCUGAAAUGUGCAUGCAUUUUUGUGAUUAUGUAUUUCACUCGCUGCUUACCCCGUACAGGUGACAUGCGUCCUUCUUCAAAUACGUAAUAGGUAACGUUCACCUCAGCUGUAAUUCACCCCGAUUCAGGAUCUAUAGUCUGGUCCCGCCCGAUUUAUUUAAAUAAACUCCAUUGCAUCUAACAGUGUUUUUCUCUGGGUUGGUCAAUUUUGGAAGAAUUCUCUCUUUUCUCCAUUCUCUUCGUUGUUUCUAAUUCAUCCUUUUUAGUGAUGCUCAGGGUGUUUUUCCUCACAACAUCCCUCGCUUACUCCUCCUUCCACGCCGGUGAAGGAAACGUUAUCAGACUGCAACAUAGCGGAGGGAGGGUGGGUGUGUGUGUUCUCCUUUUCUAUCUCCGGACUAAUCCGUUUUGUCCUUUAAUGUCUGCCUCUUUACCUCCGUUCACAUCCUGAGGUCCCGUGAUAAUCUGUUUCCUCUGUUCUCUGUUUCUUUCUGUCCACGCGUCCGGUCCCCUUCUGAACAAAAUGUAAUCUCAUUGCAGACUAGUGAGCUUCACCGUGAGGGAAACAUGAUAGGGCUGAAAAAUAGCGUGUUUUUUUCUUCUUUUUUUCAUCUCAAUCUCCAUCUCCGAACGGUUCCCUCGUUGACCUCUACAAAAUGGACGCGUUGCACUUGAAUCCCAAGGGGACAAAUAUCCUGGCGUGGGGGGGGGGGGGGGGUUGUUGCUAAAGAUAAUGGGGAGAGUUUAAACGAGAAUUGUUCUGGGGUGGGAACCGAAAUGAAGAGACUGGGGAAGAGGCGUUCGGGUCACAAAUAGAGAAAGCUUGGAGACAGUGUGUGAGGGAGGAUAGGGAGGUGAUAGAGAAGGGACGCGCUCAGACGGACGGUUUGAGAUGUGUCCAUUUUAACGCAGGGAGUAUUGUGAACAAAGCGGAUGAGGAUAGAGCGUGGAUUAGUACUUGAAGCUAUGAUGUGGUGGCCAUUACAGAGAAUUGGUGGCUCAGGGACAGGAAUGGUUACUUCAAGUGCCGGCUCUCUGAUGUUUCAAAAAGGACAGGGAGGGAGACAAAAGAGGUUGAGGGCGAGCCACUGUUAAUCAGAUAUACUGUCUCGGCUGCCGAAAAGUUGGACGCCGUGGAGGGAUUGUCUACGGAUUCUCUGUGGGUGGAGGUUAGGGACAGGAAGUGGUCGAUAACUUUAUAGCGUGUUUUUAUAGGCCGCCCAUUAGUAACAGGGAUAUCGAAGGGCAGAUAGGGAAACAGAUCCUGGAAAGGUGUAACAAUAAUUGAGUUGUCGUGAUAGGAGAUUUUAAUUUCCCAAAAAUAGACUGGAAUCUCCCUGGAGCAAGAGAUAUAGAUGAGGUAGAGUUUGUUAUGUAGGUUCAGGAUGGUUUCUUGACACAAUAUGUAGAUAAUCCUACAAGAGGACUACAAGAGGAGAGACUGUACUUGAUUUGGUAUUGAGAAAUGAACCUAGUCGGGUGUCAGGUCUGUCAGGUCUAUCUCCUUUUCAAUAAAAUUGGACAGAGAUCAGAGCAGACAAGUUAGAAACGUGUUCCAUUGGGGUAAAGGAAAUUAUGAGACUAUAUAGGAAGGAUAUUGGAAGCUUAAAUUGGGAACAGAUGUUCUCAGGGAAAAGUACGGAUUAAAUGUGGCAAAUAUUCAGGGGAUGCUUGUGUGGAGUUCCAAUGAGACAGGAAAGCUAUGAUAGAGUACAGGAGCCAAGGCUGGAAUAAAUCCAGACAAGAAGAAAAGCUUACGAAAGCUUCAGAGUGCUAGCUGAUGUUAGAUCUAGAAGAUUAUAAGGCUAACAAAAAGAAAUUAGGGCAGCAGGAAGGGACCAUAAAAAGGCUUUGGUUGGCAGGAUUAAGGACAACCCAAAGGCAUUUUACAAGUAUGUGAAGAGCAAGAGGGUAAGACGUGAAACAAUGGGACCUAUCAAGUGUGACAGUGGGAAAGUGUGUAUGGGAUCAAAGGAAAUAGCAGAGGCACUUAAUGAAUGCUUUACUUCUGUAUUCACUAUGGAAAAGGAUAUCAGUGAUUGUAGUGAUGACUUGCAGAAGACCGAAAAGCUUGAGCAUGUAGACAUUAGGAAAGAGGCAGUGGGAGGCGAGCGAGGUGAUGGCUGAGCCUCUAGCGAUAAUCUUUGCAUCAUCAAUGGGGAUGGGAGAGGUUCUGGAGGAUUGGAGUGUCGCAGAUGUUCUUCCUUUAUUCAAGAAGAGGAGUAGAGAUAGCCCAGGAAAUUAUAGAGCAGUGAGUCUUACAUCAGUGGUCGGUAAGUUGAUGCGGAAGAACCUGAGAGGCAGGAUUUAUAAACAUUUCGAGAGGUAUAAUAUGAUUAGGAACAGUCAGCAUGGCUUUGUAAAGGGCAGUUCGUACCUUACCAGCCUGAUUGAUUUUUUUUUCAGUAAGUGACUAAACACAUUGACGGAGGAAGAGCAGUAGAUGCAGCAAGGCAUUUGAUAAGGUACCUCAUUGAAAGGCUUAUUGAGAAAGUAAGGAGGCAUUGGAUCCAAGGGGACAUUGAUUUGUGAUCCAGAACUGGCUUGCCCACAGAAGGCAAAAAGUGGUUGUAGACGGGUCAUAGAGGCUGGAGACCAGUGGUGUGCCUCAGGGAUCUGCUCUGGGACUCUUACACGUUGACUCUGUGGUUAAGAAGGCAUACGGUAUUCUGGCCUUCAUUAAUCGUAAACUUGAAUUUAGUAGCCGAGAGGUAAUGUUGCAGCUACAUAGGACCCUGAUCACACCUAACUUGGAGUACCGUGCUCAGUUCUGGACGCCUCACUACAGGAAGGAUGUGGAAGCCAUAGAAAGGGUGCAGAGGAGAUUUACUAGGAUGUUGCCAGGAUUGGGGAGCAAGCCUUAUAAGAAUAGGUUGAGUGAACUUGGCUUUUUCUCCUUGGAGCGAAGGAGGAUGAGAGGUGACCUGAUAGAGGUGUACAAGAUGAUGAGAGGCAUUGAUUGUGUGGAUAGUCAGAGGCUUUUUCCCAGGACUAAAAUCGUUGCCAUAAGAGGACACCCGUUUAGGGUGCUGGCAGUAGGUGCAGAGAUGUCAGGGAUACGUUUUGUAGGCAGAGAGUGGUGAGUGCGUGGGCUGUUGGCAAUAAUGGUGGAGUCGGAUACAACAGGUUCUUUUUAACAGACUUUUGGAUAGGUACAUGGAACUUAAAAAAAUGUGGGCUAUGUGUAUACCUAGUAAUUUCUAAGGUAGGGACCUAUUCGGCAAAUUUUGUGGGCCGAAGGGCCUGUACUGCGAUAUAGUUUUUCUAUGUUUCUAUGUUAGCCCCUCACGGUACUUUUUUUUCUGGCUUUUGGCUCACACUUCCCCACACACACUCAUCGCAGACUUUUCCCGCCCCCCACUGUUUAUCCUCCUUCUCUCUGCUGAACUCCGGUCUCUUUCUCAUCCCAGUCUCUUCAUACACCCCCCAUUUCGCUCUUCCCCCAGGAUCUUUCUCCCCCAUCCCGCUGUACACUGUGCCCUGUAUCUCUUCAUUGUCUCUCUUUCCCAUUUAUCUCUCUCUCCCUGUCUCUAUACCGUUCCAGUGUCUUUUCUCCACCCACUGAUCUCUUCCCAGCGCUCUCUUAGCGCUUCCCAAAGUCCGACCUCGCUACCCAUCCGAAAUCUCUCAUCACCUCGUCCUCCCUCUCCACUCCCGGUCCUUCUCUCCUGAUCACAUACUCCCCAUUGUUCUCUCGUACCUCCCGUCUCUCUUCUCCACUUUCAGCUCCAGUCUCUCUCUCCCAGAUUCUUCCUCUACUCUGUCUUUCCAUUCCUAAACCUUCCUCUCGCUUUUACCCAAUCUCUCUCUCUCUCCCUCCACCAGACUCCCUUCCCCACCACUCCCUCGCCCGUCUCUCGCUCUCUCCCUGGUCUCAUUCUCCCCCAGUAUAGCUCCAUGACAUGCCUCUAUCCCAAUCUUUCUCUCGCCUUCUCUGGCCCUCCCCCUUUCCCUCGCCUUCUCGGCCGUCCCGGUUCUGUCUCUUUCGUCCAAUGUCAUUGUCCCCAGUCCAGUCUAUCUUUCCACAAUUUGUCCCUUAUACUUCAGUCCCUCUCUCAACUCAGUACGUUUCAAGCUCUAUCACUCUCAUCGUCUGGCCUCUCCCUCAGUCUCUCUGACCCUGUCUCCCUCCCCGGGUCUCCCUCUCCCUCCAGUGUCACUAAAUCCCCUAGCGCUCUCUACCCCCAGUCCUACUCUACGUCUCUCUCUUUCUCUCUCUCUCUUCCCUACUCCUGUCUUUCUCUCUCCGCGUCUCUCUACUGGGACCCUCACUAAAAGUCUUUCACUUCAACAUCGCUCACCUACUCUCCCUCUUCCGGGAUCUUGACUACCCCAUCUUUCACCACAGUAUCUCUCUCCGACACACUCUUUCUCCUGACGCAGUCAUGCUCACAUUCUCCAAUCUCUCACUCUGCCCCAUUGUCGCUUCUCCCAGCCCUACUCUUAUCACCCGCACAGCAGUCUCCCUCGGUCCCCGGAGUUUCUCUCUCCAUACCCCAAUCUCUCUCCCAGUCUCUAUUCCCCAGUUUCUUUGUCCCCUAAGUCUAUCUCCCUAGUCUACUCCCCCCACCACUAUCUGUUUAUCCCUGUUUCUCGCCACCACAUCAGUGUAUCAACCAUUUCUCUUUCACCCUGCCUCUCUGCCCAAUCCCGUCUUAUUUUCUCCCCGGUUCUCUCUCACUGUUACUCCCUGUCUAUUCGUUUAUUUCUUUCCCUUUGCUCUCUCCCACGUCUGUUCGUCUCUCCGCCAUGUUCCUCUCCUCUGGUUUUCUCCUCUAUCUCUCCCUAGGGUCCUCCUGAUAAGGUGAUAAAAUUCAAAUUGGAAUUUAAUAAAUGGAAACUGAAGUCAGAUAUAUCAGUGAAGUAAAGUGAAUUACAGAGUCUUGAGAGAGGAGCUGGCCAAAAUUGCUUGGAAAAUAACAUUGGCAGGAAUGACUGCACAGCAGCAACGGCUGGGCUUUCUGGAAGCAUUUGGGAACGCGAAUGAUAUGUACAUCAAAAAAGGAAGAAGAUUUCUAAAGGGAAUAUGGCUAUCAUGAGAAGUCAAAGCCAACGUAAAACCCAGAGAGAAGACAUAUCUUAUAGAAGAAAAGUGAUAAAGCACUGGUAAUCUCGUUUAAAGCAGAAGGCAACUAACGAAGUAAUUAAGAUAUGAUGACUUCGAAAUGAUGGAAUACGAAGGUAAGCUAGCCCGCAAUUUGAAGGGGGAUACCAAGAGUUUCUUCAGAUACAUGAAGGAUAAACGAGAUGCGAACUUAACUCUACUCUAAGGGAUACUCAGUGACUUGGAAAUUUUAUG